rnacentral:rRNA from 1 species
AUGGACAUCGCCACGCACCGCUGGUCCCGGACCUGCGCCGUGGCCUCCGCCGCGCUGGCGCCCGUGCUCCUCGCCACGACCUGUACCUCGCACAGCCCGGCGGCAACAUCCUCACGCCACCACAACAGCGAUCGCCGCGCUCCCCGCGUCCACCACCACGGACGCCGCCUCGCCCCCCCGCGGGCGCCAGCGCCGCGUGCCGUCGCUAGCCGCGGGGUUCCUGAUGAGCGUGCUCUGGGCGUACACCCUGGCGCGCGAGCUGGUGGCGAUCGGACGGCGGUGUCGGCCUGCUACGCCGGGCCGCUGUUCAACACGGUGGUGGGGCUGGGGCUGUCCCUCACGCUGGCGGCCGGCGCGCAGUACCCGGCGCCGUUCACGCUGCCGGCGGACUCGGCGGUGUACGAGACGGUGGGGUUCCUGUGCGCCGGGCUGGCGUGGGCGCUGGUGGUGGUGCCGGCGAGGGGCAUGCGUCUGGACCGGGUGUACGGGGUGGGCUUCAUCGUCAUCUACCUCGCCUUCUUCGGCGUCCGCGUCCUCGACAGCCUCGGCCUCUGGUUCGGGUAG